AAUGCUAUUGGGACACACACCUCCAACAAAUAUACAACAUAAAAGGGUAUAUUGGUCAUUUUGCUAAUUGAGAAACCUCCCACACGUGACUUGUGGUUGUCAUUUUCCUAUUUUCUAUUUCCGUUGCUCCCUCUUCCAUUUGUAGCUUUUUCCGCCGCGCAACCUCUUCAAGCUGCCACAGUCGACGCCAUGCCGCCUCUCGCCACAGUCGCCGCCAUGUCGUCUCUCUCCACUCCGUCGCCUUCUUGUAUGUGUCUUGUUAUGUCUCUCGCUCUACUCACUGCGUGCGAUCUCUCGCUCUCCUCGCUGCAAUGUGAUCUCUUUCUCACUCUCCUUGUUGCAAUUUGUUAUCUGAAGCUCUGUUUAUCCUUAAGGUAAGCAUUCUUUAAAAAUGAAUUAGGGUUAGGGUGAAAUGAUUUAGGUUAUAAAUUGGGGGUUAAAUGAUCUAGGGUCUAAAUUUGGGGUUAAAUGAUUUUAGUAUUCUCACCAUCUAUGAGCAUUCAUCAUCAUUGUGCACAAGCUAUUUGAUAAAAUGUUUGAAUUGUUGGAUUUAGAAGAAAAAUAGUUUUUUUUUUUGCUAGAAAUUGGGCUUAAAAUGCUUGAAGUUUUUAGCUCUCUGUCUGUUCUUGUUUUGGCUAGAGAUCGGACUUGUUGGUGAUUCAACUACUCGAGUUGCUGUCGGUCUAGUGGGAGGUGAUUGUGAGCAAUUUUGGUGAAAAUUUAAAAUGGUAAUAGCUAGCUAGUUGAAAUGAAAAUUGAAACUGUUUUGGUUUCGUUGAGUUGUUUGGUUGGAGAUCAAAUAUGUAGGUAUUAUUUAUCCUUUCCCGGAAUCGUUUUGAAUGUUAGAGUUUUAGAGAUGAUUAAUAAUUUAAAAUGAAUCGAUGAUAAAUAUCUGUUUUAAUAGUUUGUUUGAUUUUUGUUUUUGUUUUCUGCUAUUCUAAAAGAUAAUAGGUGCAGUUUAUCAAGUAUCAUAUUUGUGUUUAGUACGGUGAUUUUGUUCUAGUGAGCUUAGCAUUGCCUAUAUUUGUCCAACUUUGCUAGUUGUGUAUGCAACUUCAACAAAGCAUCUUAUGUUUUUUCAAGACUCGUCUUAUGGUGAUUUGAAGUUGACACAAGUUAUGGAUGGUGAAAUCACCCCUCUCUAAUGGAUGAAACAAGAAAAAGCAAAAUAGUAAUUAGGGUUGCUAAGGGUGUGGUGGCUGAGUUUCAAUUAACUAUUUUAAAAUGAAACCAAACAUAAUGUCUACCUACAUACUCUAGUUUCAGGUUUCUAAAAGCCAGCAGAAGAUGGACAAUUGAUAUUUCUUACAGCGCGGGGGAUAGAAGUCUUUAUGACACGGUUGCCCUCUCUUGGACAUCAUGGGGAAAGUGUGUGUGUGUGUGUGUGUGUGUGUAAAUUUGACCUUGUGUUUAUAGUAUGAUGGCAUCCUUUGUUGAAGGUUUACUUCUCAAGGGACAUAUGAAUUAGUUUUGUACUCACAUAAUCAGUGGUGACAUGGUGACAGGAUCUAAGACUUGCCCUAGGGUUAACAGACUUUGUUUCCAUGUAUUUUGAUUGCAGCAGCCGCUAACGAGUUAUACAAAGUUGCAAAAUCACACGACUAUAGUGAUGAGGACUUUUCAACAAAUAUUUCAUGGAGAUGGUCAUUCUCUAAACCAGUUUUAUUUUGAUUUGUUCUUGCAUAUCAUACUUGUUACACAUUUUGUACAAUAUAAGCACUUAAUUUGAAAUGUAAAUUAUGCCUCAGUUUUACUAUGCA